rnacentral:rRNA from 2 species
GGCGGACGGGUGAGUAAUGUCUGGGAAACUGCCUGAUGGAGGGGGAUAACUACUGGAAACGGUGGCUAAUACCGCAUAACGUCGCAAGACCAAAGAGGGGGACCUUCGGGCCUCUUGCCAUCAGAUGUGCCCAGAUGGGAUUAGCUUGUUGGUGAGGUAACGGCUCACCAAGGCGACGAUCCCUAGCUGGUCUGAGAGGAUGACCAGCCACACUGGAACUGAGACACGGUCCAGACUCCUACGGGAGGCAGCAGUGGGGAAUAUUGCACAAUGGGCGCAAGCCUGAUGCAGCCAUGCCGCGUGUAUGAAGAAGGCCUUCGGGUUGUAAAGUACUUUCAGCGGGGAGGAAGGUGUUGUGGUUAAUAACCGCAGCAAUUGACGUUACCCGCAGAAGAAGCACCGGCUAACUCCGUGCCAGCAGCCGCGGUAAUACGGAGGGUGCAAGCGUUAAUCGGAAUUACUGGGCGUAAAGCGCACGCAGGCGGUCUGUCAAGUCGGAUGUGAAAUCCCCGGGCUCAACCUGGGAACUGCAUUCGAAACUGGCAGGCUUGAGUCUUGUAGAGGGGGGUAGAAUUCCAGGUGUAGCGGUGAAAUGCGUAGAGAUCUGGAGGAAUACCGGUGGCGAAGGCGGCCCCCUGGACAAAGACUGACGCUCAGGUGCGAAAGCGUGGGGAGCAAACAGGAUUAGAUACCCUGGUAGUCCACGCCGUAAACGAUGUCUACUUGGAGGUUGUGCCCUUGAGGCGUGGCUUCCGGAGCUAACGCGUUAAGUAGACCGCCUGGGGAGUACGGCCGCAAGGUUAAAACUCAAAUGAAUUGACGGGGGCCCGCACAAGCGGUGGAGCAUGUGGUUUAAUUCGAUGCAACGCGAAGAACCUUACCUGGUCUUGACAUCCACAGAAGAAUCCAGAGAUGGAUUUGUGCCUUCGGGAACUGUGAGACAGGUGCUGCAUGGCUGUCGUCAGCUCGUGUUGUGAAAUGUUGGGUUAAGUCCCGCAACGAGCGCAACCCUUAUCCUUUGUUGCCAGCGGUUAGGCCGGGAACUCAAAGGAGACUGCCAGUGAUAAACUGGAGGAAGGUGGGGAUGACGUCAAGUCAUCAUGGCCCUUACGACCAGGGCUACACACGUGCUACAAUGGCGCAUACAAAGAGAAGCGACCUCGCGAGAGCAAGCGGACCUCAUAAAGUGCGUCGUAGUCCGGAUUGGAGUCUGCAACUCGACUCCAUGAAGUCGGAAUCGCUAGUAAUCGUGGAUCAGAAUGCCACGGUGAAUACGUUCCCGGGCCUUGUACACACCGCCCGUCACACCAUGGGAGUGGGUUGCAAAAGAAGUAGGUAGCUUAACCUUCGGGAGGGCGCUUACCACUUUGUGAUUCAUGACUGGGGUGAAGUCGUAACAAGGUAACCGUAGGGGAACCUGCGGUUGGAUCACCUCCUUACCUUAAAGAA